rnacentral:rRNA from 1 species
CCUACGGGAGGCAGCAGUGAGGAAUAUUGGUCAAUGGGCGCGAGCCUGAACCAGCCAAGUAGCGUGAAGGAUGACUGCCCUACGGGUUGUAAACCUCUUUUAUAAAGGAAUAAAGUGAGGCACGUGUGCCUUAUUGUAUGUACUUUAUGAAUAAGGAUCGGCUAACUCCGUGCCAGCAGCCGCGGUAAUACGGAGGAUCCGAGCGUUAUCCGGAUUUAUUGGGUUUAAAGGGGGCGUAGAUGGGUGGUUAAGUCAGUUGGGAAAGUUUGCGGCUCAACCGUAAAAUUGCAAUUGAGACUGGCAUGCUUGAGGACAGUGGAGGUAGGCGGAAAUCGUGGUGUAGCGGUGAAAAG